GGUUUAACAUUAUCAACAACAACAAGAAAAUCAAGCACUACACAAGUCACCAUCAGUGCACAUGCACCAACUGCAGUGACAGGUACAACGUUUUCUCCUGCAACCAUCCGCACUGAGCCAGUCUGCCAUGGCGAAUGGUCUCCUUGGUUUAAUCAAAAUACUCCGACAG